rnacentral:rRNA from 1 species
UCAAGUGAAUAAGUGCAUCAGGUGGAUGCCUUGGCGAUGAUAGGCGAUGAAGGACGUGUAAGCCUGCGAAAAGCAUCGGGGAGCUGGCAAUAAAGCUAUGAUCCGGUGAUGUCCGAAUGGGGAAACCCACUGCAUUCUGUGCAGUAUCCUAAGUUGAAUACAUAGACUUAGAGAAGCGAACCCGGAGAACUGAACCAUCUAAGUACCCGGAGGAAAAGAAAUCAACCGAGAUUCCGCAAGUAGUGGCGAGCGAACGCGGAGGAGCCUGUACGUGAUAAUUGUCGAGAUAGAAGAACAAGCUGGGAAGCUUGGCCAUAGUGGGUGAUAGUCCCGUAUUCGAAAUCUCAAUAGUGGUACUAAGCGUACGAAAAGUAGGGCGGGACACGUGAAAUCCUGUCUGAAUAUGGGGGGACCAUCCUCCAAGGCUAAAUACUCAUCAUCGACCGAUAGUGAACCAGUACCGUGAGGGAAAGGCGAAAAGAACCCCGGGAGGGGAGUGAAAUAGAACCUGAAACCUGAUGCAUACAAACAGUGGGAGCGCCCUUGUGGUGUGACUGCGUACCUUUUGUAUAAUGGGUCAACGACUUACAUUCAGUAGCGAGCUUAACCGGAUAGGGGAGGCGUAGGGAAACCGAGUCUUAAUAGGGCGAAGAGUUGCUGGGUGUAGACCCGAAACCGAGUGAUCUAUCCAUGGCCAGGUUGAAGGUGCCGUAACAGGUACUGGAGGACCGAACCCACGCAUGUUGCAAAAUGCGGGGAUGAGCUGUGGAUAGGGGUGAAAGGCUAAACAAACUCGGAGAUAGCUGGUUCUCCCCGAAAACUAUUUAGGUAGUGCCUCGAGCAAGACACUGAUGGGGGUAAAGCACUGUUAUGGCUAGGGGGUUAUUGCAACUUACCAACCCAUGGCAAACUCAGAAUACCAUCAAGUGGUUCCUCGGGAGACAGACAGCGGGUGCUAACGUCCGUUGUCAAGAGGGAAACAACCCAGACCGCCAGCUAAGGUCCCAAAUGAUAGAUUAAGUGGUAAACGAAGUGGGAAGGCCCAGACAGCCAGGAUGUUGGCUUAGAAGCAGCCAUCAUUUAAAGAAAGCGUAAUAGCUCACUGGUCGAGUCGUCCUGCGCGGAAGAUGUAACGGGGCUCAAAUCUAUAACCGAAGCUGCGGAUGCUAGUUUACUAGCAUGGUAGGGGAGCGUUCUGUAGGCCGAAGAAGGUGCAUUGUAAAGUGUGCUGGAGGUAUCAGAAGUGCGAAUGUUGACAUGAGUAGCGAUAAAGCGGGUGAAAAGCCCGCUCGCCGAAAGCCCAAGGUUUCCUACGCAACGUUCAUCGGCGUAGGGUGAGUCGGCCCCUAAGGCGAGGCAGAAAUGCGUAGUCGAUGGGAAACAGGUUAAUAUUCCUGUACUUGAUUCAAAUGCGAUGUGGGGACGGAGAAGGUUAGGUUAGCAAGCUGUUGGAAUAGCUUGUUUAAGCCGGUAGGUGGAAGACUUAGGCAAAUCCGGGUCUUCUUAACACCGAGAAGUGAUGACGAGUGUCUACGGACAUGAAGUAACCGAUACCACGCUUCCAGGAAAAGCCACUAAGCUUCAGUUUGAAUCGAACCGUACCGCAAACCGACACAGGUGGGCAGGAUGAGAAUUCUAAGGCGCUUGAGAGAACUCAGGAGAAGGAACUCGGCAAAUUGAUACCGUAACUUCGGGAGAAGGUAUGCCCUCUAAGGUUAAGGACUUGCUCCGUAAGCCUUGGAGGGUCGCAGAGAAUAGGUGGCUGCGACUGUUUAUUAAAAACACAGCACUCUGCUAACACGAAAGUGGACGUAUAGGGUGUGACGCCUGCCCGGUGCUGGAAGGUUAAUUGAAGAUGUGAGAGCAUCGGAUCGAAGCCCCAGUAAACGGCGGCCGUAACUAUAACGGUCCUAAGGUAGCGAAAUUCCUUGUCGGGUAAGUUCCGACCCGCACGAAUGGCGUAACGAUGGCCACACUGUCUCCUCCCGAGACUCAGCGAAGUUG